rnacentral:rRNA from 1 species
AAAAGGUGGCUAUGCUACCGCUUUUGGAUGGGCCCGCGGCGCAUUAGCUAGUUGGUGGGGUAAAGGCUUACCAAGGCAAUGAUGCGUAGCCGAACUGAGAGGUUGAUCGGCCACAUUGGGACUGAGACACGGCCCAAACUCCUACGGGAGGCAGCAGUAGGGAAUCUUCCACAAUGGGCGAAAGCCUGAUGGAGCAACGCCGCGUGGGUGAAGAAGGUCUUCGGAUCGUAAAACCCUGUUGUUAGAGAAGAAAGUGCGUGAGAGUAACUGUUCACGUUUCGACGGUAUCUAACCAGAAAGCCACGGCUAACUACGUGCCAGCAGCCGCGGUAAUACGUAGGUGGCAAGCGUUAUCCGGAUUUAUUGGGCGUAAAGGGAACGCAGGCGGUCUUUUAAGUCUGAUGUGAAAGCCUUCGGCUUAACCGGAGUAGUGCAUUGGAAACUGGGAGACUUGAGUGCAGAAGAGGAGAGUGGAACUCCAUGUGUAGCGGUGAAAUGCGUAGAUAUAUGGAAGAACACCAGUGGCGAAAGCGGCUCUCUGGUCUGUAACUGACGCUGAGGUUCGAAAGCGUGGGUAGCAAACAGGAUUAGAUACCCUGGUAGUCCACGCC